rnacentral:rRNA from 1 species
UACGUAGGGUGCAAGCGUUAAUCGGAAUUACUGGGCGUAAAGCGUGCGCAGGCGGUUUUGUAAGACAGAGGUGAAAUCCCCGGGCUUAACCUGGGAACUGCCUUUGUGACUGCAAGGCUUGAGUGCGGCAGAGGGGGAUGGAAUUCCGCGUGUAGCAGUGAAAUGCGUAGAUAUGCGGAGGAACACCGAUGGCGAAGGCAAUCCCCCUGGGCCUGCACUGACGCUCAUGCACGAAAGCGUGGGGAGCAAACAGG